CAAAAAUAUUCCUGGUCAAAGAGUACCAUGUCUUAUCACAGUACUAAUUAUAAAAAUCUCUUUGCCGUAAAUAAACUUCAGAUAAAAUAAAUCCUUGCUGGAGGACCAGAGUUUGUCCUGCAGACCCAGGGAGGAGAGUUGCACUGGGGAGAAGGAGAGAUGGGGAGCAGGUCCCAUGAGCUAUACUGAUAAUGACAAUGGUGAUAGCAACUUUGGAAGCCAGUUAAUAUUGGAAUAUGGCAAAGCCACUAUCAGCCUGUUUCCUGAGGGAACGCAUAGAGCCGAACUUUCUCCCUGCGCCUACUCCAACAAUCUGGAAUGUCUGCCUUGGAAUAUUAUGUGAGAAAGAAAUAAACAUCUCUUGUGUUU
rnacentral:lncRNA from 10 species